rnacentral:siRNA from 1 species
AUUGUUAUUAGUGUAUCAUUGA